CAGUAGCCACGGGAAUACGAAGGGUGCAAGCGUUAAUCGGAAUUACUGGGCGUAAAGCGUGCGUAGGCGGUUUCUUAAGUCUGCUGUGAAAUCCCCGGGCUCAACCUGGGAAUGGCAGUGGAUACUGGGAGGCUAGAGUGUGUCAGAGGAUGGUGGAAUUCCCGGUGUAGCGGUGAAAUGCGUAGAGAUCAGGAGGAACAUCAGUGGCGAAGGCGGCCAUCUGGGACAACACUGACGCUGAGGCACGAAAGCGUGGGGAGCAAACAGGAUUAGAGACCCCCGUAGUCCCUGUCUCUUAUAC
rnacentral:rRNA from 1 species